rnacentral:tRNA from 1 species
AAUUUUUUAGUUUAUAUAAAAUAUCUACUUUGGAUGUAGAAGAUACUUUAAAAUUA